GUCUAUGGCCAUGCCAUCCUGAACGUGCCCAAUCUCGUCUGAUCUUAGAAGCUAAGCAGGGUUGGGACUGGUAAGUACUUGGAUGGGAGACCACCUAGGAAUACCAGGUGCUGUAGGCA
rnacentral:rRNA from 1 species